GUGGACGGGUGCAGCCAGCGGUGACCCGGCUCACACGUUCGGCGCGGUCCCUACCGCCUGUGACAGAGCCGCCUUGGAGGUCCCACACUUGGGGAAGAUUUCCUUCCAUCUCCCGCUUCAGAUAUCCAAUUGUAUUUGUCUGCUUGCUCUGCCACAAGAAGAAAAAUACCACAGACCAGGAGCUUAAACAAUGGAAAUUGAUUUCUCACACUUCUGAGGCUGGGAAGUCCAAGGUCAAGGUGCUGGCAAGGAAAGGGGCCCACACUGAGGACAAACUGCUAGACCUGGAAACAAAAUUGAGCUGAACAGAGACAAGGGAAAAAGAAGGUCUGGGUAAAAAUGGAAGACCAGGAAAUAUCCAAAGCUGCUGAGACCACAGAGAGAGAGACCAGCAGACAUACCUUAUGUGCCUCAUGGUGAAAGAAGCAAGCAACACCACCCAGUCACCUGCAGGCACUGCGUCUUCCCAGCUCAAACACCAUGGAGAGAUACUGGUGUCCUGUAGCCAGUUUGUACCGUCGUGCAGGAACCAACGGUUCGCAUCACUUCCCAACUCCAUACUCAGUGAUGUCACAUGGUAGCUUGGAAUCGGAGUAUUUACACCAUGGAAAUCAGCAAACACUACAAAUCAGGGGCGUUCUUGCAGCGUCUCGUCUGACUUCCUGACCUGCAGGAUCCACAAAUAGGUGCUUGAAGGCACCCAGGUUUGGAGUCAUUGUUUUAUUACAAGGAAAUGAUUACUGUAAAGGCUAGUGGUGACUUUUGGAGGGAGGAAGGUGGUUGAGAUUAGAGCUUCUGAAACUUCCGGGAUGGCUGGCAGAUUCUCUGAAUGUGGGUGGUGGUUUAAAGGAUAGUUCCUCUUACAACAAUUAAGUCAUAUAUUUGUUUUAUAAUUUUCUGUAUCUGUUUUAGUUUGUAAUAAAAAUAUUUCUUUAAAAAAGUGUUUUUUUAAAAUAGGAAGAUAGUAGGAUGAUGACUUCUUUUCUAUUUCCAAUAUAUAUUUAGCAAAAUGCACUUUGGAUGUGGAAUAGUUCAAUGACAACACUAACAGUUAAAUUUUAAAGUUUUGAAACCUACAUUAUGGAAACCUAUAUGAGCCUCAUGGAGAUAAUGUUGAUAUCACUUCAUGAAUAUAUAUUGAUACGUUCAGAAAAUAAAGUCAUACAGUCUCAAAGGAGAGAGCCACUUAUAAUGAGCUCUUUGGAUAGAUAGUUCAAUUCUUAAUUACCCUGAUGGAAAUAAAAAAUAAGCUUACUUUAAGUUUACAUCAAAUAUAAUAUUUAUGACUGUGCCAGAGCUUAUGGGAUAUAAGAAUAAAAGCCUUCUCAGUAUGUUUCUUAUAUUUUACGUAGACCAGCAAUAUACUUUUAUUUACUACGACAAUUUUAUACUAAAUGCUUUUAACAUAUGCAGUGUUCCUACUUUAAGGUAUUAGAUACUGCUAGAUUUGAUCAGAUUGGAUAUUAGUUCCUAAUAUUUAGUUUCCUGUAUUUAGCAAAAUUAGAAUGACAUCAGAAUAAUAAUAACAGCAAUAAUAAUAAUACAAGCAACUUGGUAUAGUGCCCUACAUAAUAGGCCCUCAAUAUUGGAGUUGUACUGCUUUGGUAGAGUACAGAAAUAGUUAUGCGGCAUGAUUCAGGUAUGUGAGAACGGUGCCCGCUACAGGCUCUGAAAUUCCACCAUUAGAAUGUACUCAUGUGAGUCUGAACGGCAAAUACCUUCAGGAAAAAAAAAAUCGUGUCUUUCAGACAACGCCUCCACAGGAGACAGGUGUUACACAUCUCAGUGAGACUUAUGGGAAUGGACUCAGGCCCCAUGCCUGGGGCAAGGUAGGAGGGACCUCAGAAAAGGGGGCUGUGUAAUGACCGGCGAGGUGGACAGUUCCAAACAGACGCAUUCUGUUAGCCAUCCUUGGUCCUCCAGCUUAUUUUAAGAAAUCUUUUUUCCUGAGAUGUGGCAAAAGACUGAAAGUCCUCUCAGCACCAAAAGCGAAGAUUUAGAAAUGAGGUAAAAUGUCAUGAGUUAAGCGCUGUGUCAAAUAACCCAGGUUACAGGAUAGAUUAAAUAUCUUAUUUGGGUGACAUCCAAAUAAGCAGUACUUUUAUUUAUGGAACAGAUGUUACCGUUUGUUACAUUGCAAAGCCCCAGCACCCAUGCACUGGUGUACCAGUGCUUUUCGAUGAAUUCAGCCUGGUUCAGGGAUUCCAAUCUGACUAUUAAAGUCUCCAUUUCACUUAGGUGCUCAUUAUCGCUGAUGACAGCCUUUGGCAUAACUGCAGUGAAUGUGUGUCUGCCUGUCUGUCUGUCUCUUCCCUUGCCAGCUUACGACGGUGUAACAGUCUGCACCUCAGAUGGCAGUGGGUGUGGUGAUCUCCUUUUUUGUGAUCAUCUCCCUCUUCUGCCCGACAUGCCCCACCCCCUCCACCCCACCCACCAAUUCCCCGGAUACCCUACCCAGUGGUUCUUUCUGGGUGUGAGGACUUCACCCCAGCAGCAGCUGUCAGUAACUGCAGCCAUGGGGCUGGUGCUCCAUGUGUGCUCCAGAGGUCCCCUGAGAACUCCCAAGAGGUGCUUGCGGGUAGGUAGUGAGGUCCCAGGGUCUAACUCGAACCUCUGUGAAUGUUGGUGGCCCCUGGUCUAGCCAGAGAAGACCCCUUCCUCCCCCUUUUUGUACAGUCAAGAGUGGUGGUACUAGGGUGCCCUUGAGGGUUUCUAGACAGUGACCCCUGAUCCCAGCAUGGGGGCCUACCGCUGUGGUGGGUCUUUGAACUUCCAAGCUGAGACACAACACCUUGUGUUCUCAGCCAUGAAUCAUCUCUGGGGUUCUUGGCAGUU